rnacentral:rRNA from 1 species
CCUACGGGUGGCAGCAGUGGGGAAUAUUGCACAAUGGGCGCAAGCCUGAUGCAGCCAUGCCGCGUGUGUGAAGAAGGCCUUCGGGUUGUAAAGCACUUUCAGCGGGGAGGAAGGCGGUGAGGUUAAUAACCUCAUCGAUUGACGUUACCCGCAGAAGAAGCACCGGCUAACUCCGUGCCAGCAGCCGCGGUAAUACGGAGGGUGCAAGCGUUAAUCGGAAUUACUGGGCGUAAAGCGCACGCAGGCGGUCUGUCAAGUCGGAUGUGAAAUCCCCGGGCCCAACCUGGGAACUGCAUUCGAAACUGGCAGGCUAGAGUCUGGUAGAGGGGGGUAGAAUUCCAGGUGUAGCGGUGAAAUGCGUAGAGAUCUGGAGGAAUACCGGUGGCGAAGGCGGCCCCCUGGACAAAGACUGACGCUCAGGUGCGAAAGCGUGGGGAGCAAACAGGAUUAGAUACCCGUGUAGUC